UACGUAGGAGGCAAGCGUUGUCCGGAGUUACUGGGCGUAAAGUGUGCGCAGGCGGCCGAGCAAGUCGAGUGUGAAAGCCCCGAGCUUAACUUGGGAAUUGCGCUCGAAACUACUUGGCUGGAGUGUGGCAGAGGAAGGUGGAAUUCCAGGUGUAGCGGUGAAAUGCGUAGAGAUCUGGAGGAACACCGAUGGCGAAGGCAGCCUUCUGGGCCAACACUGACGCUCAUGCACGAAAGCGUGGGGAGCAAACAGG
rnacentral:rRNA from 1 species